rnacentral:lncRNA from 1 species
CAGCGGCUGGAGGGCUCGAGCUUCCCCCGGAGCCGCGAUUCAGGCUCUGCCCCCGCACGCCGGGGCUGGGGCUGAGUGCCGGAGGCGGGCGGGGUGGGGGGGAUCCUCGGAAAUGGCAGGGGCUGCGCUCAGCUCCGGCACGGCGGGAGCAGGCAGCGGCUUCCUAGCGGCCGCCGGCCUGAAAUGCAGCUCCCCGCGCAGGGAGGCCGCGGGUGGGACGGGCGAGGGGGCAGCGGCACCCCCGGCACGUGCGGCUGGGGCCCCCGCUGGUCUCCGGGCUCCUAACAGCGCCUCUCCCAGGGAUGGGGGGGUCAUUAGCACUUCUUCACUGAGUGCCGGGGGGAGAGGCCCAGGGAAGGAAUCGGUGAUCCCGGUGGGCAGGAGUACCCUGAGCACACCACCUUAGCGGGGGGGGGGCCAGCAUGCGAAGCUAAUGGUGUCCAAGAAGGAGACCACUGCCAGCUCGGGUCUUCUUUCUGGGUUGUGCCAGGCAACAGUAGCUUUCGGGCACCCUUUAAAGGUAAGGCGUGAGACUCUGCAGUGAAUUUGUUUCAGCAGGUUUUGAGGACUCGUCCUAAAGGCUCCCAAAGCACCUUCCAGAGCCAGCGCUACUGAGCCCCAGCAGCCGGGCUGGUGGACUCGGCACAGGCUGCAAGUGCAGAAGGGGCCCAGUUGUGCUUAUUUUACACGUUAUAAUUACUGAGCAAAAAAAAGGAGGAGCCCACGAGUUUGUUAAGACCGACAGUUUGCAACCUUUUGGGACACGGGGCCCCGUCCAUGACUUUUGUGAACUGAGUGGCACCACUUCCAAAAAUGAGUUGCUGGAUUAUAGUGCUUACCUCCUUGCAGAGAGGCCCCACAGCAGGGGGUAGGAGAUGGUCCAGGCAGGGACAAGCCGAAGUCCGAAUUUAUCUGCUUCUCUCGUCGCACCUCGGGGUGCCCGAAGGACCUGGCGGCGCCCUGGCUGAGGGUCGCUGCUUUCGACUAAUGCACCCAAUGCCCCUCGUGACCCGGACGACAGAAGCAGCUCUGUGCGGCCUGUCGUUACCCUGCAAAGCGGUCCCCAGAUCCAUAUUCUCGUCUCUAAAUUGUCGGCGGUUCCCAGAUUCGACAUGGCCCUACAACUGCUUUGUGCUAUACCAGCGCUGCAAAGUGUUCCUGAACCUGACUUAGACUCAUCCCAGAGCAGGGGGACGCUUUGGUGGCAGAGGUCAGUGAACCAGUUUGUAUGCCAUGCCUCUUUUUUAAAAAAAUGUUUUUCUUUCCUGCUGCUCAUCUUCUGCUGCUGUAUUUGGCCCUUAAAGCAAAUGGCACAAGCUAGAGUAGUUUUCAGGAUGCUUUAUCUCCUUGUUCCCUACUAAAAGGUUUUAAAAGCAUGUCCCUUAGUUGCAUUCUUCUUAGUUCCUCAGCCAAAGAUAUGAGCCUAGAUUUCUAAAAAUAAGGUCAGUUAGCAAACGCAGCAAUAGCAUUGCUUGGCACUUUCUCAGCACCUCCAUCUGAGGCGCUCAAAGAACUUUGCAAAGCUUACAGCAACCAGCUGGUUCUGCUUCAACCAGUUACCAAAUGUCCAGUGACUUCAGCAGGACGAGACUAUGGCCCUUUAGGGAACAAAGCCUUGCACCAACUCCUCAGCAAUUCACUUCCUUAUACUUUAAAGAGAGACAAACUGAGCCAGAGAGGGUCAGAGCCCAAUCCUCCUGCUGUACAGCUGGGCCAGGGCUUUCACUGAGCUUCUUCUGUAUUGAAUAACCAAACACAUUUUCCUUUUUUGAUUAAGACCUGGAGUUGACAAUCAAAUUAAACACAACUGCAG